GACGAACGCUGGCGGCGUGCCUAACACAUGCAAGUCGAGCGGAGGCAGUUGAGGAGUAAUCUGAGACUGUCUGAGCGGCGGACGGGUGAGUAACGCGUGAGCAACCUGCCUUUCACAGGGGGAUAACGCAGCGAAAGCUGCACUAAUACCGCAUGAGAUCACGGUGGAGAUACCGCAGGGGUCAAAGGAGGAAUCCGGUGAGAGAUGGGCUCGCGUCCGAUUAGGUAGUUGGUGAGGUAAAGGCCCACCAAGCCAAUGAUCGGUAGCCGGCCUGAGAGGGUGAACGGCCACAUUGGAACUGAGAGACGGUCCAAACUCCUACGGGAGGCUG
rnacentral:rRNA from 1 species